UAUCAAUUGGUCUCCAGAUGAUUCAAUGCUCGCUAGUGGGAGCUUGGACAACACCGUCCAUAUAUGGAACAUGCGCACUGGCAUUUGCACUACUGUUCUCAGGGGUCACUUGAGCUUGGUCAAAGGUGUUACCUGGGAUCCUAUCGGCUCCUUUGUCGCUAGCCAAUCUGAUGACAAAACUGUCAUUAUAUGGCGAACAAGCGAUUGGAGCAUGGCUCACAGAACUGUUGGUCACUGGGAAAAAUCGGUUUGCAACUCUCUCUUUUUCUUUUAUUUUCUUCAUACAAAAGAUUCAAACUUUAUCUUUUUUUUUUAUCAUUCUUUGUAGCUCGGAACCACAUUUUUCAGGCGACUUGGGUGGUCUCCUUGUGGGCACUUCAUAACCACCACUCACGGGUAUCAGAAGCCGAGGCAUUCUGCUCCUGUUUUAGAAAGAGGGGAAUGGUCUGAAUCGUUUGACUUCUUAGGUCACAAUGCUCCAAUAAUUGUUGUCAAGUUCAAUCAUUCAAUGUUUAAGAGAAGCACUUCUAGUGCCCAAGAAAUGAGACGAGCUGGAUGGAGCAAUGGGAGUUCCAAAUCAGGGGGGAAAGAUUUGCAGCCAUACAACGUUAUUGCAAUAGGGAGUCAAGACCGCACUAUUACCGUAUGGACCACUGCAAGUCCUUUGGUUUAAUCUUAGACUGCUUUUUCUUUUGGGAAAUUACAGGAGUCCCGACGGAUAUUCACUUUUUGCAUGUUCCUUAGACGGAACAGUGGCCAUGAUUCACUUUGAACCAAAAGAACUUGGUGUUAAGCUCACCGAUACUGAACUUGACGAAUUGAAGAAAAAUCGAUAUGGGGAUGUAAGAGGCCGGCAAGCACUUUUCUUCGAUUUUAUUGUUUUAGCCACUCAGAAUCUUUUUUUUUUUUAUGUUUCCUCUGAACUGAAUUUGGAUUCUUACAUCUUCAUAUAGGUCCGGAUAUGGAACAUGAAGUCUGUGGACAGGGAUUUGCAAAACUUAGAUCCAAAAGAGAGGCUUCUGGCAACCCUUCGUGAUCACUUUGGGUCUGUCAACUGUGUUAGGUGGGCUAAACACGGUAGGUACGUGGCAUCUGGUUCUGACGAUCAUGUGAUUCAAGUCCAUGAGAGGAAGCCUGGUUCAGGCACUACUGAGUUUGGUAGUGGAGAAGCCCCAGAUGUUGAGAACUGGAAAGCUGUUAUGACUCUCAGGGGGCACACUGCCGAUGUGGUAAAACCCAUCCCCUCUCUUUUACUUAUCCGAUUCUUUUUUGAAUUUUAAUAACUCAGGUUUCUAUGCUUAAAGUAGGUGGAUAUCAAUUGGUCUCCAGAUGAUUCAAAAUAAUUUUGUUUAUUUUAAAGUAGAUUUAAUAAUAUUUAUGUAAUAUAUUUAAAAUUCAAAUCGUAGAUAAUUUUUUUAUCUAUUUAUUUUGGUUAAAUGUAUUAAAUCCCACUUGAGCUUGGUCAAAGGUGUUACCUGGGAUCCUAUCGGCUCCUUUGUCGCUAGCCAAUCUGAUGACAAAACUGUCAUUAUAUGGCGAACAAGCGAUUGGAGCAUGGCUCACAGAACUGUUGGUCACUGGGAAAAAUCGGUUUGCAACUCUCUCUUUUUCUUUUAUUUUCUUCAUACAAAAGA
rnacentral:lncRNA from 1 species